UACGGAAGGCAGCAGUGGGGAAUAUUGCACAAUGGGCGAAAGCCUGAUGCAGCUAUGCCGCGUGUAUGAAGAAGGCCUUAGGGUUGUAAAGUACUUUCAUCGGGGAGGAAAAACAAAACUAAUAAUUUUAUUUCUUGACGUUACCCGAAAAAGAAGCACCGGCUAACUCCGUGCCAGCAGCCGCGGUAAUACGGAGGGUGCUAGCGUUAAUCAGAAUUACUGGGCGUAAAGAGCACGUAGGUGGUUUUUUUAAGUCAGAUGUGAAAUCCCUGGGCUUAACCUAGGAACUGCAUUUUGAAACUGAAAUACUAGAGUAUCGUAGAGGGAGGUAGAAUUCUAGGUGUAGCGGUGAAAUGCGUAGAUAUCUGGAGGAAUACCUGUGGCGAAAGCGGCCUCCUAAACGAAUACUGACACUGAGUGCGAAAAGCGUGGGGAAGCAAAACAGGGAUUAGAUACC
rnacentral:rRNA from 1 species